rnacentral:rRNA from 1 species
GCGAACGCUGGCGGCAUGCCUAACACAUGCAAGUCGUACGAAUUUUUAAUUAGUGGCGAACGGGUGAGUAACACGUAGGAAUCUACCUAAAGGUGAAGGAUAACUUCGGGAAACUGAAGCUAAUACUACAUAAUGUCUAAGGACCAAAAGUAAUGCCUUUAGAUGAGCCUGCGUUUGAUUAGCUAGUUGGUGGGGUAAAUGCUUACCAAGGCAAUGAUCAAUAGCUGGUUUAAGAGGAUGAUCAGCCACAUUGGGACUGAGACACGGCCCAGACUCCUACGGGAGGCAGCAGUGGGGAAUAUUGGACAAUGGGGGAAACCCUGAUCCAGCAAUGCCGCGUGUGUGAUGAAGGUCUUCGGAUUGUAAAGCACUUUCAUUAGGGAUGAUGAUGACAGUACCUAAAGAAGAAGCCCCGGCUAACUUCGUGC